rnacentral:rRNA from 1 species
UACGUAGGGGGCAAGCGUUGUCCGGAUUUAUUGGGCGUAAAGAGCGUGUAGGCGGCUGGGUAGGUCCGUUGUGAAAACUCGAGCUCAACCUCGAGACGCCGAUGGAAACCCUCCAGCUAGAGUCCGGAAGAGGAGAGUGGAAUUCCUGGUGUAGCGGUGAAAUGCACAGAUAUCAGGAAGAACACCCGUGGCUAAGGCGGCUCUCUAGUACGGUACUGACGCUGAGACGCGAAAGCGUGGGGAGCGAACAGG